rnacentral:misc_RNA from 1 species
CCGAGUUUACAACUCCCAAACCCCUGUGAACAUACCACUUGUUGCCUCGGCGGAUCAGCCCGCUCCCGAUAAAACGGGACGGCCCGCCAGAGGACCCCUAAACUCUGUUUCUAUAUGUACUUCUGGAGUAAAACCAUAAAUAAAUC